rnacentral:rRNA from 1 species
GACGUAGGAGGCGAGCGUUGUCCGGAUUCAUUGGGCGUAAAGAGCACGCAGGCGGUUUGGCAAGUCGGAUGUGAAAACCCGAAGCUCAACUUCGGGCCUGCAUCCGAAACUGCCCGACUAGAGGUAGGUAGGGGAGAUCGGAAUUCCUGGUGUAGCGGUGAGAUGCGCAGAUAUCAGGAGGAACACCCGUGGCGAAAGCGGCUCUCUGGAACGGUACUGACGCUGAGACGCGAAAGCGUGGGGAGCGAACAGG